CCUCCAAGGCUAAAUACUCCUGACUGACCGAUAGUGAACCAGUACCGUGAGGGAAAGGCGAAAAGAACCCCGGCGAGGGGAGUGAAAAAGAACCUGAAACCGUGUACGUACAAGCAGUGGGAGCACCUUCGGGUGUGACUGCGUACCUUUUGUAUAAUGGGUCAGCGACUUAUAUUCUGUAGCAAGGUUAACCGUAUAGGGGAGCCGUAGGGAAACCGAGUCUUAAUUGGGCGUUAAGUUGCAGGGUAUAGACCCGAAACC
rnacentral:rRNA from 1 species